rnacentral:rRNA from 1 species
UACGUAGGCAGCGAGCGUUGUCCGGAUUUAUUGGGCGUAAAGAGCUCGUAGGCGGUUCGGUUAGUCGGGUGUGAAAACUUUGGGCUCAACCCAAAGCGUGCACUCGAUACUGCCGUGACUAGAGUUCGGUAGGGGAGUGGGGAAUUCCUAGUGUAGCGGUGAAAUGCGUAGAGAUGUGGAGGAACACCGAUGGCGAAGGCAGCCCCCCUGGGUCAAGAUUGACGCUCAUGCACGAAAGCGUGGGGAGCAAACAGG